rnacentral:lncRNA from 1 species
UGUGCACAUGCUUCCCGUCAUGCAUUUAUAGGGCGCGACAUGCUGAGAGAACAUAGAGCUGUCAAAAUGUGCAUAACGCAAAACACAUCUUGGAUAACAUUUUACCCUCAAGACCCAGAUGCAGCUGAAAUUAGUGAAGGAGAAGCGUGUAAGUGAAGGCAGAGGCGCGUGACGACUGUAUGAACGCCGUCCUGCUCCUGAACACAACAACAACCCUUCAACAAUUACCAUGUUCAGCACUUCUGAUCAAUCCUUCAAGGACAGUGGGAGAUUGGAUGAUGGCCGAGACACACUUUCUUCCGGAGGCUUGAGAAUUUCAGUGGAAGUGCUUUUUCUUCUUUUGUUCCUGGCAUUACCACAGAAUUGAUCUGAAAAAUGCACCAAUUAUUGGCAGGGAGAUGAUCUCAGUUUUUCACUCGGCAUCAGAAACUGAAAAUAGCACAAAACCUUAGUGCUGGACUGACUGAAAAUUCUCAGUCAUACAUAAUAAACAUUUUUCAGCAGGAAAAAGAACAAUAUACUGUUGUCAAUUUAUCAUACUAGUUGGAAUUAGCUUUGACAUGUUUCAAACAGCCCAGUGAUAUGGAGAGUUGAAUGCAUGUAAUCUAAUCUGCAAAACAACAUGGC